GAUGAACGCUGGCGGCGUGCCUAAUACAUGCAAGUCGAGCGAACCACUUCGGUGGUGAGCGGCGAACGGGUGAGUAACACGUAGGUGAUCUGCCCAUCAGACGGGGACAACGAUUGGAAACGAUCGCUAAUACCGGAUAGGACGAAAGUUUAAAGGUGCUUCUGGCACCGCUGAUGGAUGAGCCUGCGGCGCAUUAGCUAGUUGGUAGGGUAAAGGCCUACCAAGGCGACGAUGCGUAGCCGACCUGAGAGGGUGAACGGCCACACUGGGACUGAGACACGGGCCAGACCCCUGCGGGAGGGAGGAGUAGGGAGUUUUCGGCAAUGGGCGAAAGCCUGACCGAGCAACGCCGCGUGAAUGAUGAAGGCCUUCGGGUUGUAAAAUUCUGUUAUAAGGGAAGAACGACUUUAGUAGGAAAUGGCUAGAGUGUGACGGUACCUUAUGAGAAAGCCACGGCUAACUACGUGCCAGCAGCCGCGGUAA
rnacentral:rRNA from 1 species